AGAGUUUGAUCCUGGCUCAGGAUGAACGCUAGCUACAGGCUUAACACAUGCAAGUCGAGGGGCAGCAUGAACUUAGCUUGCUAAGUUUGAUGGCGACCGGCGCACGGGUGAGUAACACGUAUCCAACCUGCCGAUGACUCGGGGAUAGCCUUUCGAAAGAAAGAUUAAUACCCGAUGGCAUAGUUCUUCCGCAUGGUAGAACUAUUAAAGAAUUUCGGUCAUCGAUGGGGAUGCGUUCCAUUAGGUUGUUGGCGGGGUAACGGCCCACCAAGCCUUCGAUGGAUAGGGGUUCUGAGAGGAAGGUCCCCCACAUUGGAACUGAGACACGGUCCAAACUCCUACGGGAGGCAGCAGUGAGGAAUAUUGGUCAAUGGACGAGAGUCUGAACCAGCCAAGUAGCGUGAAGGAUGACUGCCCUAUGGGUUGUAAACUUCUUUUAUACGGGAAUAAAGUGAGGCACGCGUGCCUUUUUGUAUGUACCGUAUGAAUAAGGAUCGGCUAACUCCGUGCCAGCAGCCGCGGUAAUACGGAGGAUCCGAGCGUUAUCCGGAUUUAUUGGGUUUAAAGGGAGCGUAGGCGGACGCUUAAGUCAGUUGUGAAAGUUUGCGGCUCAACCGUAAAAUUGCAGUUGAUACUGGGUGUCUUGAGUACAGUAGAGGCAGGCGGAAUUCGUGGUGUAGCGGUGAAAUGCUUAGAUAUCACGAAGAACUCCGAUUGCGAAGGCAGCCUGCUGGACUGUAACUGACGCUGAUGCUCGAAAGUGUGGGUAUCAAACAGGAUUAGAUACCCUGGUAGUCCACACAGUAAACGAUGAAUACUCGCUGUUUGCGAUAUACGGUAAGCGGCCAAGCGAAAGCGUUAAGUAUUCCACCUGGGGAGUACGCCGGCAACGGUGAAACUCAAAGGAAUUGACGGGGGCCCGCACAAGCGGAGGAACAUGUGGUUUAA
rnacentral:rRNA from 1 species